AGAACGAACGCUGGCGGCAGGCUUAACACAUGCAAGUCGAGCGCGUGUAGCAAUACACGAGCGGCGCACGGGUGAGUAACGCGUGGAUAUCUGCCUUUUGGUUCGGAAUAACCCCGGGAAACUGGGGCUAAUACCGGAUGGUUCCUACGGGAUAAAGAUUUAUCGCCAAAAGAUGAGUCCGCGUCCGAUUAGCUAGUUGGUGAGGUAACGGCUCACCAAGGCGACGAUCGGUAGCUGGUCUGAGAGGACGAUCAGCCACACUGGGACUGAGACACGGCCCAGACACCUACGGGUGGCAGCAGUCGAGAAUUUUUCUCAAUGGGGGAAACCCUGAAGGAGCGACGCCGCGUGGAGGAUGAAGGUCUUCGGGUUGUAAACUCCUGUCAUUUGGGAACAAGGCGUAGGUAUUAACUGUAUCUACGUUGAUAGUACCAGAAGAGGAAGAGACGGCUAACUCUGCGCCAGCAGCCGC
rnacentral:rRNA from 1 species